rnacentral:rRNA from 1 species
UACGAAGGGGGCAAGCGUUGUUCGGAAUUACUGGGCGUAAAGGGCGCGUAGGCGGCUUAUCAAGUCAGGCGUGAAAUUCCCGGGCUCAACCUGGGGGCUGCGCCUGAUACUGAUGAGCUUGAAUGCGGGAGAGGAUAGUGGAAUUCCCAGUGUAGAGGUGAAAUUCGUAGAUAUUGGGAAGAACACCGGUGGCGAAGGCGGCUAUCUGGCCCGUAAUUGACGCUGAGGCGCGAAAGCGUGGGGAGCAAACAGG